UUAAAGAUGGCUGAAUUAUUAGGUAUUAGAUUGUAAAUCUAACAAUGGGUUUGAUCCUCUUUAA
rnacentral:tRNA from 1 species